GUGUAGAACGAUGGGGAACUGGGAAGUUUUACCUUGAGGAGAGGGCUGACAGGGUGACUUUGAUUCCCUGCUCUGUCUCUGAAAGGCUGCCACGAACAAGAGGACCAGACUGUUUUUGUGGACUCAGAGGACAGAGACAGAACCAAAGGUUGGAUUCCCAGGAGGAGACAUGUCAACAAGAAAGGUAGACUUUACAGAGUAUGAGUUCAAAAGGUCACACUCUGUGAUAGCCACAUAAAAAUCCUUCAAUAGAGACACGUGUGUUGGGCUGUCCCGCGCAGCAGUGGAGAGAGUCGAACCUCGAUUUUGUUGGUGUCCAUUGUGAGCGGCGGACUUUUAAAGGGAGAAAGUAACGAAUUCCUGGAGGGCUCUGGACACUCUGGAGGGAGGAGCAGCUACUUCUUCGCUGCUGUUUCUGAACCAGGGGAGUGGGGGGCCACCUCGGUGUCCCCUCCCCGAGCGCCAGGAACACGGCUGUUGGCUGAGACAGAAGAGACACAGUGGGAUUCUUCUGCCUCUGGCCUCUAGGCUGCCAGGUCUGAGACCGGGAGACCUCCCAUCUUCCCUUCACCCUUCUUCUCUCCCUUCCCUGGCCACACCAGGCCUCUCCUCUGACCUUCCCUCAGAGGCUC
ensembl:lncRNA